CACGUAGGGGGCGAGCGUUGUCCGGAUUUAUUGGGCGUAAAGAGCUCGUAGGCGGCUCAGUAAGUCAGGUGUGAAAACUCCAGGCUCAACCUGGAGACGCCACCUGAUACUGCUGUGGCUAGAGUCCGGUAGGGGAGCAUGGAAUUCCUGGUGUAGUGGUGAAAUGCGCAGAUAUCAGGAGGAACACCAGGUGGCGAAGGCGGUGCUCUGGGC
rnacentral:rRNA from 1 species